ensembl:lncRNA
AGUGGAGUGGGUUGCCAGUUCUUUCUCAGGAAGCUACUAGAAGAUAAUUUGCCAAAAUUAGAGCAUAAAACAAACAAAGGAGAUCUAGGAAAUACAGAUAUAUUCAUCAACUCAGGCUCCGAUGCAGUCACAAACAAUACCGAACUCUCAGCGGUUUGCAGUGUAGGUUUAUUUCUUUUCACCCAGUGUGCCCACUGUGUAGUUCUGCUCCUUUUCAUCAUCAUAACUGGACUCAGGCUGGGGGAGCAUUCUUUAUCUGUGAAAUUGCCAGACUCGUGGCAGAGGGAAAAGAGAUGAUAGAACUCUCUCUUAAGUUUCCACCUUGGAAUGUCACAUGCCAUUGGCCAAAGCAAGUCACACGGUCACUUCUGAGUUUAACAAGGCAGAGAUGGAAAAUCCUCCCAUCGGAUGGGACAUCACAACUCAUAACCAAGCCUGACAUCAAUGGGAUUCAUAUGCUGUAGCCCAAAGCCCGAUGUGACUAUAUUUAGAGAUAAGGGCCUCUAAGAAGGUAAUUAAGGUUAAAUGAAGUCAUAGGGUGGGGCCCUAACCCAUCAGGACUGGUGUCUUCAGAGGAAGAGGAGGAUAAAUCAGCGAGCUCUCUCUCUCUGCAUGUGUACUGAAUUAAAGGCCACAUGAGGACACAGCAGGAAGGCAACCAUCUGCAAACCAGGAAAAGAGACUUCACUAGAAACCAACCUUGCCAGCACCUUGAUCUUGGACUUUGAAACUGCAGAAGGCUGAGAAAACAAAUUUUUGUUCUUUACAUCACCCAAUCUGUGGUAUUCUAUUACAAUAGCCCAAGCUGACCAAUAUGCUAGCAUGUGACUGAGCAAAUCGGUAUCUUCUAUCAAGCUUAAUUUCUUCUUUUCAAAAAUGGAGAUGGUAAAAGUUCCCCUUCACAAGAUAUUUGGAAGAAUUAUCUGUGAGUUUAAAGCACUUAGUAUGCGAACAAGAAUAAACUCAGACUUAAAUGACGCAGGACUUUUGUUUGCAAGUGACAGAAACUCUACAUCAACUAUCUUAGGCAAAAAGAAGAAUUCACUGGCAGAAGAGUGAAAACCACAGGACUCAUUCCCUCUGUCUCUGUUUCCAGCAUUCUCCGCAAGCCGGAACUCUGGUUACCAACGCCCCCAGGCUUCCCACACGAGGGCUGAUCCUUCCGCCUUCAGCUCCAAGUGAGAUACUCCCAAGAAGUACUUUGGCUGCAAACAACACAAAAUCUAAUUGUCAGCAACUUAAUAGGGGAUUCUUCUUUUCAUGGAGCAAGAUGUGUAGAGCAAAUAAAAAAGGAAAGAAAGCUUUUAAGGAAGCCACACUGACAAACUCAAAAUAAAAAAGUGACCACUGAUAAGCAACAGAGGAGGCAAAAAACCCAAACGGCGAUGAUGAAGAAAACCUUGAAAAAAGUCAUAAACAUGCAAAAGAAUAUUGGUGUUUUAUCUACUCUGUGGAACAGUAAAUGGACUGAGGUUCACAGCCAAAAAGGAUAGUUAAAAUUGCAUUCAGAGUGCUCUUUACAAGGCAAGGCAAUGAAUAAUUUAUUUUAUGCCGUUAUAUUCUUUCACGCAGUAUUGACUGAGUAUGAUUAUUUCUUAUGUGUAAUAUAUUUUAGAAAGAUUUCCCAAUAAGUAGGCUUAAAACGAUGAAAAGAGUUGAUUCUAAAAGCUCUGGGGAAUUUCACUCUCCAAACAGCCAUUUUCCAUGGAGUUUCAGCCAAGAAAUUUCCUGCAGCAUACCGAUUGGGUGGCCAGAGGGAGUGAUGUCUCUGCCUCUCCGCACAAGGGGGCGAUGUUGACCAGCCUUUGCUUCUAAUUCAGGCCAGCGGCGCUCUGUCUCCAGAGUACACUUGCACAGUCACUCACCAUCCAUCCUGGAGCUGUGAUGGAUUAAGCUGGGAGGCAAACGUUAAGGCUUUUAUCCAUCCUCCUAGAACUUUUCCAGAAAUGUUAGAGGUGAGCUGGAAUGGAAGCAGUAAGAAAAAAAUCCUUUUCCAGGAAGAAAGGCAUUUAGGAAAUUUUCUACAAAAGUAUAAU